UACGGGGGGUGCAAGCGUUAUCCGGAUUCACUGGGCUUAAAGGGAGCGUAGGCGGCUUUGUAAGUCAGUGGUGAAAUAUUGCGGCUCAACCGCAAAACUGCCAUUGAUACUGCUUAGCUUGAAUCACGUCGAGGUGGAUGGAAUAAUACAUGUAGCGGUGAAAUGCUUAGAUAUGUAUUAGAACACCGAUUGCGAAGGCAGUUCACUAGGCGUGUAUUGACACUGAGGCUCGAAAGCGUGGGGAUCAAACAGG
rnacentral:rRNA from 1 species